rnacentral:rRNA from 1 species
UACGUAGGCAGCAAGCGUUGUUCGGAGUUACUGGGCGUAAAGGAUGUGUAGGCGGUUGUUUAAGUUUGGUGUGAAAUCUCCCGGCUCAACUGGGAGGGUGCGCCGAAUACUGAAUGACUAGAGUGCGGGAGAGGAAAGUGGAAUUCCUGGUGUAGCGGUGAAAUGCGUAGAUAUCAGGAGGAACACCGGUGGUGUAGACGGCUUUCUGGACCGUAACUGACGCUGAGACACGAAAGCGUGGGUAGCAAACAGG